AGCUUCUCUGUGCUGGACUGGAGAGUCCAACCUGCAGACUGGAAACUCUCAGCUUGUCACGCUGUCUGGUCUCAGAGGAAGGCUGUGCUUCUCUGGUAUCAGCUCUGAGAUCCAACCCCAACUAUCUGAAAGAGUUGAACCUGAACUACAAUGAUCUAGGAGACUCAGGUCAAUGUUACCCAGUGAAGCUGCUAUUGGCCAGAGUGAAGGAUCCACAUUGGAGACUGGAGACUCUCAGGUUGUUAGGUUGUCAUGUCUCAGAGGAAGACUGUGCUUCUUUUAGCUCUUCUCUGAGCUCCAUGCCGUCCUAUCUGAAAGAGUUGGACCCGAGCAACGAUCAUCUACGAGACUCAGGAGCUGAGGUGCUGUCACCUGGA